rnacentral:lncRNA from 1 species
CCUCAAUCAGUUCAGGGGAAUUUAUAGUUGCAUUUCUUGUUAGGAAAUAUACUUGCCACCUUUGAAAUCCACCAGUGGACUGUUUUCGUACCUACAGGCUUCUGUUUCAGGAAAAAAGAAACUGUCUCCUGAUGCAGCUGGAAGAAGCCACCCGCCUCACGUCCUACCUCCAGUCCUAGUUACAAAGAACUUAGAUCCUGAAGUGGCUGUAAUCAGAGGACAGAAAGUGGAUAUAUGAUAUUUUUUAAGAGGAGCUGCUCAUAUAUGAUCCAAGG